UUUUGCUACGGAAUAACGCAGGGAAACUUGUGCUAAUACCGUAUGUGUCCUUCGGGAGAAAGAUUUAUCGGCAAGAGAUGAGCCCGCGUUGGAUUAGCUAGUUGGUGGGGUAAAGGCCUGCCAAGGCGACGAUCCAUAGCUGGUCUGAGAGGAUGAUCAGCCGCAUUGGGACUGAGACACGCCCCAAACUCCUACGGGAGGCAGCAGUGGGGAAUAUUGGACAAUGGGCGCAAGCCUGAUCCAGCCAUGCCGCGUGAGUGAUGAAGGCCCUAGGGUUGUAAAGCUCUUUCACCGGAGAAGAUAAUGACGGUAUCCGGAGAAGAAGCCCCGGCUAACUUCGUGCCAGCAGCCGCGGUAAUACGAAGGGGGCUAGCGUUGUUCGGAAUUACUGGGCGUAAAGUUAAGUCGAGAUCGAUCAGUCAGGGGGGAAAUCCCAGGGCUCAAGCCUGGAACUGCCUUUGAUACUGUCGAUCUGGAGUAUGGAAGAGGUGAGUGGAAUUCC
rnacentral:rRNA from 1 species